AGGAAACACCGCAGUGGCGGGGCCAGCUCUGGAAGCCUGGAGUCAGCCCCCGCAGGGACUCCGGGAGCGUCGGUCUGCAGGGCCUGGAGGCUCCGGGACGGG
rnacentral:pre_miRNA from 1 species